CAUAAAUGGUAGAUACGAAAUUCGUUAAAUGAUUGCGUAUCUGCCAUUAAUGCU
rnacentral:pre_miRNA from 1 species